CGAGAUGAAGGAGAUACACCACUCCCGGACACGUGUAGAAAUUUAUUUGGCCCAUCAGAAGUAGAUAUCACCAGUCCUAGUGAACUGCAGCAUGUUCGACAGAGCUCGAUUUUUAACAAUAGUGGAACCCGGCCCCGGGAAACAGUGAUCGGAAGUCAAGAAAGUAUACAGUUUGGGUUGGAUGGAUCACAACCGGUGGAGCAUGGGUUGGAUGGAUCACAACCGGUGGAGCAUGGGUUCGAUGGAUCACAACCUGAGAAUCAUGGAUUGGAUAGAUCACAACUGGAUUAAUUGAUAUGAGCAAAUGACCAUUUUUGUGUAAGAGUGUGUAAAUGUAGAAUUAGUAAAUGUUAUUAGAGAAAAGUGUUGGGAUAUGGUGCUAAUGGUAGAAGAAUUAGUGAAUGUUCCAGGAGUGUUCAAGUCAAUGUUCCAGGAGUAGU